AGGUGUGGCCGUGCCGUCGGGGCCGAGGAAGCCGUGGCGCCGCGGGAGCAGCAGCCCGCACCAGGUAGUCAAGCUUCCUAAUUUGUAGAAGAGAGUUGCAAAAGCCAUUCCUGUGAAAAUCUGAAUCCCCACUUAAAAGAUUUAAGAAGCCAGAAAAAGACAUGAAUUAGCAGAGUGGCACGUAGGCUUUAAAAAAAUCUGCCUGCUGUUGGUCCUUAGACUCGCCCUCCACAGAGCAGCGCUCUUCAUUCACCCACCUCACGUUUACAGGAACAUCUGCUGGGAAAAUAUGUUGCAGCACAGGUGUUCUGAUCUGCAAAAGACCACAGUUUAACCCCCCCGAAUCGUGUAACACCACUGAAUACUACAAUAGAAACCCACAGGAACGUGGUGCAGCCUCUGCUUCGGACAGGAGGAUGUUCGUCCCAGGAGAAGGAGCAUCAGUUCUCAGAUGGUAGUAUGUGAGCUGCAGAUAGAAACUGGAGGCUUACAGGGAAGAAAUGUGACUGAACUAAAUCUUUGGGCCACCUUCCAUGUGAUGGAGCAAUGUAGCUAAGCUGUAGGUUGCCUUACGCUUGCAACACUGCAACCCCGAGGGAGAUUGCAUCUGCAGAGAUCUGCCUUCAUGCCUGGAUUGAUAAGUGACGCUGGGGAAGCAUCUUGGCAAGAUGCUGCUGCAGUAUCCUGUCUCCUCAUCACGUCGCCCUCUGGAAGACAGAAGUGA